GCUGGAGAGAAGGCAGUGGUGAGAAGAGCAGCCCAGUUUGGAAGCUUAGAAGAUCAGGGGGACAGAGUAGAGAUGGAGAUACCCACCCCUCCGGGGAAGAAGCUGAGAGGACGGCAGCGGCAUGAGGAGGAACAGCACUGCCCGCUGGCUGAGGGUUUGCCAUUGACGGAAAAAUGUGCUUAAAAUUCCUCUGAUAUUCCAAAGGGAAACAGGCAGAUUAAGUGUGAAGGUGCAAUAAAUACCAAAGGGACCACUUCUUUCCAAGUGUGCUCAGAGUUCAGCCUGUAGAACAGCUGCAGAAACUCCUGGGCCCGAAGCACUGCGUGGUUUCACCUUUCAUUGCAGGGAAGGACACGUUUCUAUGCCUUACAGAGACUUGAAGCCUGAAAGCCUGGCCAAGUUUGGGAAGAAGAGGAGCCCUCUCAGAGCUCAAGAGCCUUCCUGCUCUUUGGAACUUUUCCCACCGUGGGUCAAACUUGACAAGAGUUCAGCUCAAGUUGAAUACACUCACACAAAUUAUGUGAGCAGUCAGAAUCCAAGUGAACAUAACUUGAGCCAUCU